rnacentral:rRNA from 1 species
UUGAACGCUGGCGGCAGGCCUCACACCUGCAAGUCGAGCGGAUGAAGGGAGCUUGCUCCUGGAUUCAGCGGCGGACGGGUGAGUAAUGCCUAGGAAUCUGCCUGGUAGUGGGGGAUAACGUCCGGAAACGGGCGCUAAUACCGCAUACGUCCUGAGGGAGAAAGUGGGGGAUCUUCGGACCUCACGCUAUCAGAUGAGCCUAGGUCGGAUUAGCUAGUUGGUGGGGUAAAGGCCUACCAAGGCGACGAUCCGUAACUGGUCUGAGAGGAUGAUCAGUCACACUGGAACUGGGACACGGUCCAGACUCCUACGGGAGGCAGCAGUGGGGAAUAUUGGACAAUGGGCGAAAGCCUGAUCCAGCCAUGCCGCGUGUGUGAAGAAGGUCUUCGGAUUGUAAAGCACUUUAAGUUGGGAGGAAGGGCAGUAAGUUAAUACCUUGCUGUUUUGACGUUACCAACAGAAUAAGCACCGGCUAACUUCGUG